rnacentral:rRNA from 1 species
AGAGUUUGAUCAUGGCUCAGAGCGAACGCUGGCGGCAGGCCUAAUACAUGCAAGUCGAGCGCCCUUCGGGUGAGCGGCGGACGGGUGAGUAACGCGUGGGAAUGUGCCCUUUGGUACGGAACAACUGAGGGAAACUUCAGCUAAUACCGUAUGUCCCUUCGGGGGAAAGAUUUAUCGCCAUUGGAGCAGCCCGCGUUGGAUUAGGUAGUUGGUGAGGUAAAGGCUCACCAAGCCUACGAUCCAUAGCUGGUCUGAGAGGAUGAUCAGCCACACUGGGACUGAGACACGGCCCAGACUCCUACGGGAGGCAGCAGUAGGGAAUCUUGCGCAAUGGGCGAAAGCCUGACGCAGCCAUGCCGCGUGAAUGAUGAAGGUCUUAGGAUUGUAAAAUUCUUUCACCGGGGAAGAUAAUGACGGUACCCGGAGAAGAAGCCCCGGCUAACUUCGUGCCAGCAGCCGCGGUAAUACGAAGGGGGCUAGCGUUGCUCGGAAUUACUGGGCGUAAAGGGCGCGUAGGCGGAUAUUUAAGUUAGAGGUGAAAGCCCAGGGCUCAACCCUGGAAUAGCCUUUAAUACUGGAUAUCUUGAGUUCGGGAGAGGUGAGUGGAACUCCGAGUGUAGAGGUGAAAUUCGUAGAUAUUCGGAAGAACACCAGUGGCGAAGGCGACUCACUGGCCCGAUACUGACGCUGAGGNNCGAAAGCGUGGGGAGCAAACAGGAUUAGAUACCCUAGUAGUCC